UACGGAGGGGGGCUAGCGUUGUUCGGAAUCACUGGGCGUAAAGGGCGCGUAGGCGGCUUUAUAAGUCGGGGGUGAAAGCCUGUGGCUCAACCACAGAAUUGCCUUCGAUACUGUAGAGCUUGAGACCGGAAGAGGUAAGUGGAACUGCGAGUGUAGAGGUGAAAUUCGUAGAUAUUCGCAAGAACACCAGUGGCGAAGGCGGCUUACUGGUCCGGUUCUGACGCUGAGGCGCGAAAGCGUGGGGAGCAAACAGG
rnacentral:rRNA from 1 species